GCAGGAUCCAAAAUAUGAAGAUCUGAUCUCUGAUUUAUUUUUCUAACAAUUAUUUUUUUUUAGAUUUCAGAUUAUGAUUACAUAUUCGUUUCAAGAUCUUUGUUAUGAUUUUCAGAUCAAAUUUGAUACAUGAUUAAAUUAAAAAUAUUUUAAUUUAUUUACUUUCACUGCUUAAUGUCUAGAAAAUUUUUUUAAACUAUACGUAUGAAACCGUAACAGUUUUCUAACAGUGAUUUCAGAGCAUAGGUUCUGAUACAAAUAUGAAAACCCCUC
rnacentral:lncRNA from 1 species